GACGAACGCUGGCGGCGUGCUUAACACAUGCAAGUCGAACGGAAAGGCCCUGCUUUUGUGGGUUGCUCGAGUGGCGAACGGGUGAGUAACACGUGAGUAACCUGCCCUUGACUUUGGGAUAACUUCAGGAAACUGGGGCUAAUACCGCAUAGGAGCUCCUGCUGCAUGGUGGGGGUUGGAAAGUUUCGGCGGUUGGGGAUGGACUCGCGGCUUAUCAGCUUGUUGGUGGGGUAGUGGCUUACCAAGGCUUUGACGGGUAGCCGGCCUGAGAGGGUUAACGGCCACAUGGGGACUGAGAUACGGCGCAGACUGCUACGGUAGGCAGCAGUGGGGAGUAUUGCACAAUGGGCGGAAGCCUGAUGCAGCAACGCCGCGUGCGGGAUAACGGCUUUCGGGUUGUAAACCGAUUUCGACUGUGCCGAAGCGUGAGUGACGGUAAUGGGUAAAGAAGCACCGGCUAACUACGUG
rnacentral:rRNA from 1 species